rnacentral:rRNA from 1 species
GACGAACGCUGGCGGCGUGCUUAACACAUGCAAGUCGAACGGAAAGGCCUCUUUCGGGGGGUACUCGAGUGGCGAACGGGUGAGUAACACGUGAGUAACCUGCCCUUGACUUUGGGAUAACUUCAGGAAACUGGGGCUAAUACCGGAUAGGAGCUCCUGCUGCAUGGUGGGGGGUGGAAAGUUUCGGCGGUUGGGGAUGGACUCGCGGCUUAUCAGCUUGUUGGUGGGGUAGUGGCUUACCAAGGCUUUGACGGGUAGCCGGCCUGGGAGGGUGACCGGCCACAUUGGGACUGAGAUACGGCCCAGACUCCUACGGGAGGCAGCAGUGGGGAAUAUUGCACAAUGGGUGGAAGCCUGAUGCAGCAACGCCGUGUGCGGGAUGACGGCCUUCGGGUUGUAAACCGCUUUCGCUCAUGACGAAGCUUUGUGUGACGGUAGUGGGUAAAGAAGCACCGGCUAACUACGUG